GGAUCUUAGUUCAGUGGCAGAGCACCUGUUUGGCAUGCGGAAGGUCCACGAUUCAAUUCCUGGCAUCUCCA
rnacentral:tRNA from 1 species